AUUGAACGCUGGCGGCAUGCCUUACACAUGCAAGUCGAACGGCAGCACGGGGCAACCUGGUGGCGAGUGGCGAACGGGUGAGUAAUAUAUCGGAACGUGCCCUGGAGUGGGGGAUAACGCAGCGAAAGUUGCGCUAAUACCGCAUACGAUCUAAGGAUGAAAGUGGGGGAUUCGCAAGAACCUCAUGCUCCUGGAGCGGCCGAUAUCUGAUUAGCUAGUUGGUGGGGUAAAGGCCUACCAAGGCAUCGAUCAGUAGCUGGUCUGAGAGGACGACCAGCCACACUGGAACUGAGACACGGUCCAGACUCCUACGGGAGGCAGCAGUGGGGAAUUAGU
rnacentral:rRNA from 1 species